AACGAACGCUGGCGGCAUGCCUAACACAUGCGAGUCGAACGAGACCUUCGGGUCUAGUGGCGCACGGGUGCGUAACGCGUGGGAACCUGCCCUUAGGUUCGGAAUAACUCCCCGAAAGGGGUGCUAAUACCGGAUAAUGUCUUCGGACCAAAGAUUUAUCGCCUUUGGAUGGGCCCGCGUUGGAUUAGCUAGUUGGUAGGGUAAAAGCCUACCAAGGCGACGAUCCAUAGCUGGUCUGAGAGGAUGAUCAGCCACACUGGGACUGAGACACGGCCCAGACUCCUACGGGAGGCAGCAGUGGGGAAUAUUGGACAAUGGGCGAAAGCCUGAUCCAGCAAUGCCGCGUGAGUGAUGAAGGCCUUAGGGUUGUAAAGCUCUUUUACCCGGGAUGAUAAUGACAGUACCGGCAGAAUAAGCUCCGGCUAACUCCGUG
rnacentral:rRNA from 1 species